rnacentral:misc_RNA from 1 species
UCAACCAGGUAGCAUCAUUAACAACAUCGGCCUCAUACAAAGCAUGAACGAGGAGACCUCGGAUGCUAGUAUGGCACGACAGUCACAAAUGCGUCAAGCGUUAUAAGCUUUUUCAAGGGGCAAAUAUCCGAUAUCCACCAAGUUACCCUCACUGCAUUCGAAAUCCGAGAACACGAGCCAAUACCUAACACACCAAGCCACCGAAUCAUAAGACCACAAGUGUGUGGUUAGAUCGCAAGGACCGCUUCAUUAUCCAUCUUCAAAGAGCCGAAAAAGUUUCAUAUGAUGGAGGGACACCAAACCGAAAUCUAAUUCCACCAAUGCUAGGUAGGAAACACAAGAACCACGUAGCCCAAUGCAUAAAUGCAGUUGAAGCCAUAGUUAAAACACACGUCAAUAAUUCCCCCAACAUAGACGGGAAAC